UCGAACGAGAAAGCGGGGGCAACCUCGUGAGUAAAGUGGCGUACGGGUGAGUAACACGUGGGUAAUCUACCUCUUGGUGUGGAAUAACGCUGGGAAACCGGCGCUAAUACCGCAUAAGCUCGGGAGAGGAAAGCAGCAAUGCGCCGAGAGAGGAGCCCGCGGCCGAUUAGCUAGUUGGUGAGGUAACGGCCCACCAAGGCAAAGAUCGGUAGCCGGCCUGAGAGGGCACACGGCCACACUGGCACUGAAACACGGGCCAGACUCCUACGGGAGGCAGCAGUGGGGAAUCUUGCACAAUGGGGGAAACCCUGAUGCAGCGACGCCGCGUGAGCGAUGAAGCCCUUCGGGGCGUAAAGCUCUUUCGGCAGGGAAGAAUAAAUGACGGUACCUGCAGAAGCAGCUGCGGCUAACUACGUGCCAGCAGCCGCGGUAAUACGUAGGCAGCGAGCGUUGUUCGGAGUUACUGGGCGUAAAGGGUGUGUAGGCGGUCCCCUAAGUUUGGUGUGAAAUCUCCCGGCUUAACCGGGAGGGUGCGCCGAAAACUGGGGGGCUAGAGUGCGGGAUGGGAGAGUGGAAUUCCUGGUGUAGCGGUGAAAUGCGUAAAUAUCAGGAGGAACACCGGUGGUGCAGACGGCUCUCUGGAC
rnacentral:rRNA from 1 species